rnacentral:rRNA from 1 species
AGGACGAACGCUGGCGGCGUGCCUAAAACAUGCAAAUCGAACGGGGGAGCAAUCCCCAGUGGCGAACGGCGGAGUAAUACAUGAACAACGUGCCCUGAAGACCGGGAUAGUCAGUGGAAACGCUGGGUAAUACCGGAUGUGGCCGUCUUGUGGCAUCACGAGACGAUUAAAUGGUUUUUCGCUUCAGGAGCGGUUCAUGGCCUAUCAGGUAGUUGGUGAGGUAACGGCUCACCAAGCCUACGACGGGUAGCGGGUCUGAGAGGACGAUCCGCUCGAGUGGGACUGAGACACGGCCCACACACCUACGGGUGGCAGCAGUUGGGAAUCUUGCACAAUGGGGGAAACCCUGAUGCAGCGACGCCGCGUGGAGGACGAAGGAUCUAGGUCUGUAAACUCCUUUUUUACACGGAAAGACUUAGGACGGUACCGUGAGAAUAAGCCCCGGCUAACUACGUGCCAGCAGCCGC